CUGGCACGGUAAGCGGUCGCUUUUGCGCCUUGCAAAAGAGGAAAGUCCGAGCUGCGAUAAGACGAAGUUCCAUCUAACGGAUGGCUAGGGAAACCUAAGGGAUAGUGUAACAGAAAGCAAACUUCCGCCUUGGCGGUAAAGGUGAAACGGCGGGGUAAGAGCCCACCGGCACGCUUGGUAACUUGCGUGGCCAUAUAAACCCAACUUGCAGUAAGAAGGGAUGGUUUUGGUCUUAUAUUAAAACCCUUCGCUAGAGCUUGUUUGUAAAAGCAAGCGUAGAUAAAUGAUCGCUCAAGACAGAACUCGGCUUAACGCCGUGCCUUUUAA
rnacentral:RNase_P_RNA from 1 species